rnacentral:rRNA from 1 species
UACAGAGGGGGCAAGCGUUGUUCGGAAUUACUGGGCGUAAAGGGCGCGUAGGCGGCCACCGCAAGUCGAUUGUGAAAUCUCCGGGCUUAACCCGGAAAGGUCAACCGAUACUGCGGGGCUAGAGUGCAGAAGGGGCAACUGGAAUUCUCGGUGUAGCGGUGAAAUGCGUAGAUAUCGAGAGGAACACCUGCGGCGAAGGCGGGUUGCUGGGCUGACACUGACGCUGAAGCGCGAAAGCUAGGGGAGCGAACGGG